UGGGGAAUAUUGCACAAUGGGCGCAAGCCUGAUGCAGCCAUGCCGCGUGUGUGAAGAAGGCCUUCGGGUUGUAAAGCACUUUCAGCGAGGAGGAAGGUGGUGAGCUUAAUACGCUCAUCAAUUGACGUUACUCGCAGAAGAAGCACCGGCUAACUCCGUGCCAGCAGCCGCGGUAAUACGGAGGGUGCAAGCGUUAAUCGGAAUUACUGGGCGUAAAGCGCACGCAGGCGGUUUGUUAAGUCAGAUGUGAAAAUCCCCGGGCUCAACCUGGGAACUGCAUUUGAAACUGGCAAGCUAGAGUCUCGUAGAGGGGGGUAGAAUUCCAGGUGUAGCGGUGAAAUGCGUAGAGAUCUGGAGGAAUACCGGUGGCGAAGGCGGCCCCCUGGACGAAGACUGACGCUCAGGUGCGAAAAGCGUGGGGAGCAAAACAGGAUUAGAUACCCUGGUAGUCCACGCUGUAAAACGAUGUCGAUUUUGGAGGUUGUG
rnacentral:rRNA from 1 species